UGGUGCAUGGUUGUCGUCAGCUCGUGUCGUGAGAUGUUGGGUUAAGUCCCGCAACGAGCGCAACCCCUAUUGUUAGUUGCCAUCAUUCAGUUGGGCACUCUAGCGAGACUGCCGGUAAUAAACCGGAGGAAGGUGGGGAUGACGUCAAAUCAACAUGCCCCUUAUGACCUGGGCUACACACGUGCUACAAUGGUUGGUACAACGAGUUGCGAGUCGGUGACGGCGAGCUAAUCUCUUAAAGCCAAUCUCAGUUCGGAUUGUAGGCUGCAACUCGCCUACAUGAAGUCGGAAUCGCUAGUAAUCGCGGAUCAGCACGCCGCGGUGAAUACGUUCCCGGGCCUU
rnacentral:rRNA from 1 species